GACAUAGGUGGCGAACGUUAUCCGGAAUUAUUGGGCGUAAAGGAUGCGUAGAUGGUAGAAUAAGUUACUGGUCGAUGCCAAACUCAAUUUGACGGAAGCUGGUAAUACUGUUCUGCUCGAGGGCAGGAGAGGUUGAUGGAAUUCUGUGUGGAGCGGUGAAAUGCGUUGAUCUACAGAGGAACACCAAAAAAGGCGAAAGGCAGUCAACUAUUUCUGUUCCUGACAUUGAGGCAU
rnacentral:rRNA from 1 species